CACUCUCAUCUUUAGCUUUCAUUUAGUCCUAGGAGCAUCUUUACCGGUACUCCAACUUCAAGCGCAGCUUGAGUGAAAGAUAUUCAUGAGCCCAAAAAGUUUGGUGAAGAAAAUGGUACAGCAAGAACAUACCUUCCAGAGAAUGACUCUUGCCCGUCAUGCGCUUAAGUCUAUUCUUCUUCCUUUGUGCUAAUCUUAAGAGGCAUCUUAAGAGCCUAGGUCUUAGGCAUUGGGUGUUCCACUCACCUGCAUGAGUUUCUGCCACUGCCAUAAGAAGAACAUGCCCCAACUGCUCUGCUGGUCCAAGGAGGAUGAAAAAACACAUGCAGCAUGGCCUUCAGGCCAAUCCACAGAACUGCAUCUAAAGAUGGAGGGGCUAUGUAAGAAUGAAUAUGAGUGGCAGCUGACAGCCAGCCAACAACAAAGACCUCAGUCCUACAACCUCAAAGACUGGAUUCUGCCGACACCUUGAAUGAAUUUGAAAGUAGAAUCUUCCCCAGAGCCUUCAGAUAAGAGCCCUGAUGGCUGAUUUCAACUUUGAAAUCAUCUUGAUUUCAACUUUGGAGUAUACUGAACAGAACCCAGAAGUGCCCGCCUGGAUUCUUCACCUACGGAAAUGUGACAGAGAAGUAUUCAAACAAAACACUUCGCAGGAAGGACGACAGUCAAGUGCGAGUGGUGCCUGCAGUGCUGUGGGCCGGAGAGGCAGGAAAGAGACACAGGGAGGAUGACCGCCUAGCACCAGGUCUAUUAAGAUAUUUCUGCAUUUUUCUAAAUUAAUCAUUCCCACAUCUGGGAGAAACAGAGGACAAGAAUUUUUAGCACCUUAUUUAUAAAGGCGGAAAACCCAAAAGCCAGAGAAGAGAAAAUGAAACUGAAGCCCAGAGAGGUUAUAUCUCACCUGAGGCUACACAGGAAAGAAGUGGCAAAGCGAGGACAUGAACCCCAAACUGCCUGACUUUAAGGGCACAGGGCAACCUCUGUGUGGCAGCCAAGGGCUGACCUCAGCACGAGGGCAAUUCCUUAUUAAGUCUGCAUUUCUCUGGGAGUCUGGGCGCCGUGGUCAGAGUGGGCGCCUGUGUGUCCAGCCUCAGGCCGGUCUAAGAACCCAGUAUCCUCGCCUCAUUCUCUGUACUUGGAUCUGACUCUUACCAGGAUGAUUAACGACUGAACUUUCUCUGAAACUCUUCCCACAGAGCCACUCGGUGAAGAGUGAAGAGAGAAAAGACAUGGGAUCCCUGCCUUAUCCUGGGCUCAAGCUCCUUGAAGGCAGGGCACGUCUUUCACAAGUGAGUAUGGCUCAUAGCCCACUCCUGCUUGUUUUCCUAAGCAAAGCAAAAUCUUGCUCUGCCAGAGAAACAAACGAAAGCAUCGUACCAGUUAAAUAAUAUGUAAUAGCUGUAUCAGUAUCCUGUCUUCUCCCAGUCAGCUAACUUUGUAAUGUGUAAAUGCUUAUCGGACAUACAAAAUCAAACUACGUAAACUGUUGUAAAGUGGAAGGAAUGAUUCCGAUCAGUCUGGCAGAGUACAAGGCCACGGGAAUUGUAUUUUGCUUCCCUUUCUGCAGUUGAGGUAGGAGAUAGAUGGGCUCUUGGUCUGGACAGCUGCUGUUUGUCCAGUGGAGUAAAAUUGAAACUCUGUGCUCACCCAGACACUCCAAGGACAAAGCUAGUGUCAGAAACUGAGCUCUGCUCAAGUAAAUAGAUAAGGGGUCCACUCCUUAAGUCAGGGAAAACUUCCCUGUCUGCACAUGCGCGGGAAGGCUCUUGGGCGUCUAAAAGGGAGGGCACCCCAUAAUACCUAUGGACAUGCACCCACAGGCCUCUGUGGUGGGAUCCAUCUUAGCAAAAAGUUGUGCACGCAUCUUGGGGAGGGUCCUAGGACCAGUCAGGUGUAAAAAAAAAAAAAGAAACAAGAUAAUCUGCCAAAGGUAAAGAAAGACCCGGAAGGACUGUCCUGUAUAAGUGAUUUAAAUCACCUCUUUACUGCACUCCUCAUUCAGGAGCCCACACUCCACUCUGGGUGUGUAUUUCUGCCCUGCUUCUGACUUAAAUAAAUAAACUGCUUCCCUGUGUGCUCUCCCAUAUGUUGUGCUGUGUCUCUAAUAAUAAACUUUGUAUCUGGUUUGUGUUUCUUUCCUCCUUGAAACAUUUUUGCUUUCAAAGGGGGUAAGAAUCAGGGAAUUUUGCUUCUAGCCUCUAGCCCCUGCUGGACUGGCGUCUAAGUUCAGUCCCUGGGCAGCGAAAUAAGAUCCUGCUCAAGACUACUGCCCCUCCAAGAACACAGUCAGGAGCCAGGCUGACAUUCUGGACAAUCAUAGCAAAAUGAUUUUCCUGUCCAAGUUUAAAAGGCAUCCAUCCAGUGUUUAUAACUGGUCCCCCCAGUCCACCCCUCAUGCUACCUCCCUCUCAAGUUCCCUCUGCCUUCAAAAGCAAAGGCUGUACCACCAUAGCUUUUGCCUCCAGAGUCGUUAGCAUAUAUUGAGUCUGUUUCAGUAAGGUGUGUUCUGAAGAGACAGAAAAUCCACAUGACUGUCUUUAUCCAUUUUUCAUUACUACAUGGUAAGGAUGACACAACAAGCUAAUUUAGAAAAAGCAUUAAAGAGGGGGCUUAAGAUGGGGAGAGGAAGUGUAGCUUGCAAUGUACAACUUGAAAAGGCAUUCAAGUGUGAGCAAUGCAAAUCUUUGAAAUUGCUUCCGGAUCCACUGUUAUAGGUUACAUUGUCAGCUACCUGUAUUGAUUAUUAUUUUGUAAUUUAUUUGUUAGAAUUUCUGCUAAUGGACACUUCUGAAUCAUCUUCUGCAUUUAAUGUACCUAAUACCCAUUG